rnacentral:tRNA from 1 species
AAAGCUUUAAGUUAAAAAAACUAUUAACCUUCAAAGUUAAAAUUACAGGCAUGACGUAAGCUUUA